GACAGACUCUCAGAAACCAGGGUCCGUGGGGAAUAAAUAUUGCAUAAGCCCCGAGGCGGACAAGAUUAUGUGAUUUCUCUGUGUUAUGCUGCAUUUCAUGAAAGCAUGUAAUUAAUGAACUGUUUUCUAUGUUUCUACUCACUGGGCUUUUUAGCUCAUCCCUUUCCCCUAAUCCCAGUGUUGCAGGUUUAAGUCAGAGCUCAGAAGUCAGCAGGAUAAAGAUAAAGUGACGUGUGUUUGUAAUGUAGUAG
rnacentral:lncRNA from 1 species